rnacentral:rRNA from 1 species
UGGGGAAUAUUGCACAAUGGGGGAAACCCUGAUGCAGCGACGCUGCGUGAGCGAAGAAGGCCUUCGGGUCGUAAAGCUCUUUUAUGAGGGAAGAUAAUGACGGUACCUCAAGAAAAAGCCCCGGCUAACUAUGUGCCAGCAGCCGCGGUAAUACGGAGGGGGCUAGCGUUGUCCGGAAUCACUGGGCGUAAAGGGUUCGCAGGCGGUAUAACAAGGCAGAUGUGAAAGGCAUGGGCUCAAACAAUGUAAGCAUUUGAAACUGUAAUUCUUGAGAAGUGGAGAGGUAAGUGGAAUUCCUAGUGUAGCGGUGAAAUGCGUAGAUAUAAGGAGGAAUACCUGUGGCGAAGGCGACUUACUGGACACAAAUCUGACGCUGAGGAACGAAAGCGUGGGUAGCAAACAGG